CAAAAACUCAACUGUCCUUCCCAUAACUAACAACAAAAUAUCAAUAAUAAUUUCCCAUUUUUUUCAGCCAUUGUUUGUACCUUUGAUAAUACACACACAGAGAAAGAGGGUUUAAAUGGACGGUGGUGAUGUAACUAAGGAGGGGAAAGUGACGUGUGCAUCAUGGAUCAAACGGCCAGAAAACGCGCAUCUGGUUGUGAUUGGAAAGUCCUCUUCGCUCGAGAUUUUCUCAUUUGAUACAGAGACUACUUCUCUUUCUGCUAAUCCCAAGGCGAAGUAUGUGUUCGAGGAAAGUGGUGAUCCAGUGCGCAUUGCAGUACAUCCUAGUGGGGACGAAUUUGUGUGCUCAACCACUACUGGUUGCAAGUUGUUUGAGUUAUAUGGUCAUGAAGAUAAUAUAAAACUUGUGCGCAAGGAGUUUGAUCUCGAAGAUGUUGGCCCACAAAAAUGCAUGGCCUUUAGUGUUGAUGGCUCCAAAUUAGCCACAGGCGGAGUUGAUGGACAUUUCAGACUUUUUGAGUGGCCAACUAUGCGCAUUAUUGUGGAUGAACCUAAAGCUCACAAGUCAUUCAGAGACAUGGAUUUCAGCUUAGAUUCAGAAUUCUUAGCUUCCACAUCCACAGAUGGUGCUGCCAGAAUAUGGAACACAAGCGACGGUGUUCCAAUAACUUUAACACGAAAUUCAGAUGAGAAUAUUGAGCUCUGCAGGUUUUCUAAAGAUGGGACAAAACCGUUUUUGUUCACUACUGUUCAGAAAGGCAAUAAGACAUUAAUUGCAGUUUGGGACAUCACUACAUGGAAGAAAAUUGGACAUAAAAGCCUGUUAAAAAAGCCAGCUUCCAUUAUGUCAAUUAGUUUGGAUGGGAAAUAUCUUGCAUUGGGAAGCAAAGAUGGUGAUGUCUGUGUUGUUGAAGUGAAAAAGAUGGAGAUCUCCUCCUUGCACAAGAGAGUGCACUUGGGUACCAAUAUCACUUCUUUGGAGUUUUGUCCUAGUGAAAGGGUUGCUCUUACCACUUCCUCUCAAUGGGGAGCAAUGGUGACUAAGUUAAAUGUCCCAGCUGAUUGGAAAGAGUGGCAGAUUUAUCUAUUACUCUUGGGAUUAUUUUUGGCAUCAGCUAUUCUAUUUUACGUGUUCUUUGAGAAUUCAGAUUCUUUCUGGAACUUCCCUGAUCCAUCUUCAAGACCAAAGAUUGAAACUCUACAUGGAGAUCCAACAUCUGAUGAACAAUGGAGCAGCUUUGGGCCUGUAGAUUUUCUAUUCCAAUGGAUUCACAUCAGCAACGUCCAGUUAUGAAACUUGAUGGAAAGAACUAUUUUUUGUGGGCUUCAUAUUUUCGUAAUUUUCUUGAGGGCAAAGAGCUUUUGGUUCACGUCACCUCAUCUAAACCAGCAGCCACGACUGACAAUCCUGCAGUCAUCUCCAAAUGGUGUGUGUCUGAUGCAAAGGAUCUGUGGACCGGGAAAGUGAUUGGUCGAGGCCGUAGACAAGGGGAACUGUUCAUCUUGGAUUUGGGCUCGUCCUCCGACUCUCACAAGUGCUUCCUUGCUCCGUCUUCUUAUGAGAUUGCGUCAACCAAUGCUCUUUGGAAAAUAUGGCAUAGGCAGUUGGGACAUCCUCAUACUCAGAAUCUCAAGUCAUUGUUUUCCUCUGGCGAUUUGUUGUCUAAAAUUGAUUUUAAGAAUAAUGUUAGUAUUGAUUGUGAAUCAUGUGCUCUUGCAAAAUCACGUUUGUGCCAUUUAGUAAAAGUAUUCAUCA